UAUAUCAACUGUAUCAGCAAGCUGUGCACGAAACGAUUCAUCUGCAAGCACGGAUGAGUAGCGUAGCCGAUACAGUGGCAAGCGCUCGUCGCGCAUUAGUAGAUUGGCUGUCUUCAUGAAAGAAGGAGGUUGCAACACUUGACCACUAGAUGGGUUGGAGUGGCUACAAAUUUUUGUGAUGCGGGCACGUGGGCCCUUACGUGCAGUGCGGAUGGCUGUGCACCGUUCAUCGAAGAACUCUGGCAUGAUAAGCCUGAAGAUCACAACCCCCAGAAGACACCUUGGCAAGACACUUAAGACAUGGGAUUAUGUCUGGUGUUGUGCUGCACUCAUGACAUCGAGCUAUACGCAUAGAACUUCGGCGUUUCUGAGGCGUUUCAGCCUCAGAUGAGCCUCGGCAUUAAAACUUCCAUAGGACAUCUUUGGCUGUCCUGCUUUAAUGUAUGCGGUCAAAGUGCACCAGGGGUAAGUGAACACAUCUGGUGUCGUGUGUGUAGUGCUGCGUUGUGCUACGUGUGUCUACGUCAUCGAGCUACGCGUAGAAGUUUGGGUAAGCAGUGUAUAAAUUUUUUCUCAGCGGUACUUAGGUCUGCGGUACUGGGGCAGCGUCAAACAACGGUGGGUUGCACCUGUGGCCAAUACUGGUAUACGUGGAAAGUGAGAGCGAAGAGUGAAGAGGAGCGAUUUUUCAAUCCGUCGUAGAGUGCCGGGGCACAACGUCCCCCCCCCCCUCCCUUCAUACACAGAGUUCGAGAAUUCCUUGUUGUGGCGUUGUGAGGCAAUUUUUUACUGGAUAUUCAUGAUCACAAGCAUUAGAAACGCGGCUCUUAAGAUACCCCUCGAAACGUUCGUUCGAAGUGUCAGCUGGGCAGACUUUCCGGAGGGGGCAUCCCCCCACCCCCCAGGAAAGACCACUCUCCCAGCAGUCGGCACCUAUGCUAACUAACACGGUGAUAUAUGGAACACCAGGAAGACAAAACACGGACACCGAAAAGCACACAGGAGAGAACUACUGCUCUCCCCGAUUUUCCAUGUUAGUUGCCAUUCCUGGCCAUUUGGAUAAACUUUUACUGAUGUUGGUUACUGUGAAAUUGUAGCUGCCUUAGAAUGCAAGG